rnacentral:tRNA from 1 species
GUUGUGGCUCAGUGGUACUGUGCUUGUCUAGCAUGUGCAAGAACCUGGGUUCAAACCUCAGCACGACA